GUCACAUUCACACCGACGACGAGACUUGUAUGUGGAAGACCGUCCCGAACAGCCGGAGCACGGCGAACGUGAGGAGCAUGGCGAACCAGCCGCCGAGGAGCACCCUCAGGCCGGACCUCAACAUGCUGGCGCCGCCCAGGUACGCGCCGGCCACGCCGAACGCGGCCAGGCCGACGCUAGUCGCGGCGCACACCGCGGCCACCCUGGCGGCCCACGACGGCACGAACACCCCCGCCAGCAGCGGCAGGAGCGCGCCGAACGCGAACGCCAGCGCCGACGCGAGCGCGGCCUGCGUCGGGCUCGGCAGGCCGUCCCUAGCGGCGCCUUCCUCCUCCUCCUCGCCGCCAUCGCCGCGCUUGAUCUGCGAGACCUCCAUGUCGUACUGCGCGUACACGGAGACGAACUCGCCGAUGGCCAUGCUGCAGGCGCCCGCCACGAGCCCCGCCGUGCCGGACACCAGCAUGGCCUUGGGCGUGGCGCUCACGGCGCCGACGCCGAUCAUGAGGGACGCCACGGACACGAGGCCGUCGUUCGCGCCCAGGACGGCCGCCCGGAGCCACUGCGCGCGGGCCAUGUAGUCGACGCCGCCGGCGUCCCCGUCGGCGUCGCGCGGAUCGUCCCCGGCCGCGUUCGUCGGCGCGCCCGCCUCGACGUCGAUGGUGACGACAGCCCUCGGUGGCAGCACGUCAGUACUCUCCGCUUUCUUACCAUUCGGGAAGGCCGAGGCUGUCGCCUGCGCCGCCGCCGCCGCGUGGACGUGGGAGCUGAGGUGAAGGUCCAUGGAAAUGUAUCGCCAAGGAAGCAAGCAAGCCGAUCGAUCGAUCGAUCGAGGACUGGAGGAGGCCAAGCAGGUGUGUGUACUCGAAUGUCGAUGAAUGGAUGGGGAUCGGAGCGUGGCUGCCACACGCCUCGGGCGUGG
rnacentral:misc_RNA from 1 species